rnacentral:rRNA from 1 species
AUGUUCGCCUCGGCGUCUAAUGGGUCUCGGUUUUGGAGGGAUCUUAUUAGGGUCAGGGACGUUUUCCGUGAUCAUGUUAAGUUCCUCGUCAGGAAUGGUGCUUCGACUCGCUUCUCGUUGGAUUGGUCGACUGGGGACGCACCUUUAGCGUCCUCUUUUCCGGUUCUAUUCUCUUACUGUCCGGAGCCUGGGAUCUCAAUCUCUAAGCUCUCUUGCAAUGGCUGGGAUCUGGGUCUUCGGACAACUCUCUCUCCCGUAGAGUUGGCGGACUGGCACUGGCUUGCUACCUUGUUCCCUAUUCUCUCAGAGGGGGAGGACUCGGUGACUUCGCGCCAUGUCGCUUUUGGUAGAUUUUCGGUCAAGUCUCUUUAUGCUAGGCUUAUAGAUGGAUCCCCCACUUCUAAGUUUAAACAAGUCUGGUCGGCCAAGAUCACCCCUAAGAUUAAGAUUUUCCUUUGGCAGGCCAUUAGAGGCCGCUUGCCUGCGGCGGAUCAGAUCCGUAAGAGGAAUGGACCUGGUUCUACCUUUUGUGCUCUUUGUUCUGCAACUGAGAAUACCAAUCAUAUCUUCUUCGGUUGUCCUUUGGCCAAGUUGGCCUGGGGCUGUGUCCGCUCGUGGUUGAACGUCUCUUGGGACCCUUCCUCCUUCUCUGACCUACGCUCUUUGACAGCCAACAUUCAGGUUCAGAUGAAGAGGCUUUUUGGAUUGGGUUGGGGGGCCUUUGUUGGUCUUUGUGGACUACUAGGAACCAAUUCACCAUUGACGGUGUUUUCCCUAACAAGUCGGUGGAUGUACUGUUUGAUAUGUCUAUCUUCUUGCAGAAGUGGAAAUUAUUGA